AUCGAGUAGAACGCUAAGGAGGAGCUUGCUUCUCUGGAUGAGUUGCGAACGGGUGAGUAACGCGUAGGUAACCUGCCUGGUAGCGGGGGAUAACUAUUGAAACGAUAGCUAAUACCGCAUAAAGUAGAUGUUGCAUGACAUUUGCUUAAAAGGUGCAAUUGCUCACUACCAGAUGGACCUGCGUUGUAUUAGCUAGUUGGUGGGUAACGGCUCACCAAGGCGACGAUACAUACCACCUGAGAGGGUGAUCGGCCACCUGGGACUGAGACACGGCCAACUCCUACGGGAGGCAGCAGUAGGGAAUCUUCGGCAAUGGACGGAAGUCUGACCGAGCAACCCGCGUGAGUGAAGAAGGUUUUCGGAUCGUAAAGCUCUGUUGUAAGAGAAGAACGAGUGUGAGAGUGGAAAGUUCACACUGUGACGGUAUCUUACCAGAAAGGGACGGCUAACUACGUGCCACACCGCGGUAAUACGUAGGUCCCAGCGUUGUCCGGAUUUAUUGGGCGUAAAGCGAGCGCAGGCGGUUAGAUAAGUCUGAAGUUAAAGGCUGUGGCUUAACCAUAGUACGCUUUGGAAACUGUUUAACUUGAGUGCAAGGGGAGAGUGGAAUUCCAUGUGUACGGUGAAAUGCGUAGAUAUAUGGAGGAACACCGGUGGCGAAAGCGGCUCUCUGGCUUGUAACUGACGCUGAGGCUCGAAACGUGGGAGCAAACAGGAUUAGAUACCCUGGUAUCCACGCCGUAAACGAUGAGUGCUAGGUGUUAGACCCUUUCCGGGGUUAGUGCCGCAGCUAACGCAUUAAGCACUCCGCCUGGGGAGUACGACCGCAGGUUGAAACUCAAGGAAUUGACGGGGGCCGCACAAGCGUGGAGCAUGUGGUUUAAUUCGAACAACGCGAAGAACCUUACAGUCUUGACAUCCCUCUGACCCGCUCUAGAAUAAGUUUUCCUUCGGACAAGGUGACAGGGUGCAUGGUUUGUCGAUCAGCUUCGGUCGUGAGAUGUGGGAUUAAGUCCGCAACGAGCGCACCCUAUUGUUAUUGUCUCAUUCGCUGGCUACUCUAGCGGAGACUGCCCGGGAAAUUAACCGGUGA
rnacentral:rRNA from 1 species